ensembl:lncRNA
AAACCAUGUCUUACCUUUUUGAUUUGUUUAUUUCCAGAGCGCAUAUUGAAUAUAUGAAAUAGAUUUUGUCCAUAUGUGGACACAUUCAUACAAAUACAAUUUUCAAGCUACGGAAACGGAUCCACAUUUAUCUGACUUACUGAAUGCACUUUGAAAUCCUAUAUAUAUAUUUUUUUUUUGUACAAAUUUUUCUCCCACUGCCAUGGAUAUUGUGUUCUAUAUACAGCUGUCUUUGAUAUGCCUUGCAUUGUAUUGUAACACAGUGUAUGGGGCAGCAUUGGGGUGAUGAUGGAAGGGUAGGGGUUAAUGAAUGAUUGCAGCUGACCUUCAUACCUCACACAGCGUUGGUGUUGAGUGAGUGAGCGACCUCAUGAAAGAAAAAGGCAAAUUAAUAAACCACUCAAGGAUCAAACUGUCAAACUAUACAGGGGACGCUGGCAAAUCUGGAGGAGGAUGAUAAUGAGAAAGAUGAAGAUUACCUGCCACCCCACCCCGAAACCUGUCUCUGCACUGCUUAACACAAGGUGAACCACAGAUGUAGUGGCUUAUACAAAAACAAAACCUAAAUCACAACAAGACUAAAUCUGUGUGUCAAAGUGGCCUCUGUUGUCCCUCUUGUUGUUUUUUGUUUGUUUGGAAGAUAUUUUUUAGAGCAGGACCAGAUCAAUUGCAUUCAGGUUUACAUUGUAUUUCUUUCCUUGAUUGUUUCUGAUAUGGAUGAACCUACGUAAUAGUGGCAGAGGUAGAACAGUACAUGAAGGCUUUUAUCUAUAUACAUUAUCUUCUGUUUUUCUUGCAUUUCUAGGGACAUAAAUAAAAAUACUUAUGGCUUGUAAUUGUUGGUAUGUCAGGUUUCAACUUAAUUUUGAUCUGUUUUUUUUUUGGUGGGGGGGGGUGUAAGUUAGAGAAUAAACACUGUUAGCCAGGAGAUAUUCUCUUGCUCUCUCUCUCGCUCUCUUCCUCUCCUACCUACCUGAUCUCCCACCCACUGACUAGCCUCUUACUUUAAAAUACAUUCAGAAAUCCGUUGAAAUCUCAAUCACAUUUCUCUAAGGCAAAUUUACCCUUUUCUGUUAUUUGUUUGGGGAGAUUCUGAUUUUUAAAACCUGUAUUUGUCUUGAUGAAUAAAAAGAUACAAC